CAGCACCUCAAGUGGUCAGGAUGAUUAUUGGGCCUAAAGCAUCCGUAGCCGGCGCUGUAAGUUUUCGGUUAAAUCUGUACGCUCAACGUACAGGCUGCCGGGAAUACUGCAGCGCUAGGGAGUGGGAGAGGUAGACGGUACUCGGUAGGAAGGGGUAAAAUCCUUUGAUCUAUUGAUGACCACCUGUGGCGAAGGCGGUCUACCAGAACACGUCCGACGGUGAGGGAUGAAAGCUGAGGGAGCAAACCGGAUUAGAUACCCGAGUAGUCC
rnacentral:rRNA from 1 species